CAGCACCAGACGUCAUUUGGACGUCGUUUUCUGGUCUAAAUCAAGUCGGCCCGUCAUGGCCAUCUUUUAGACCAAAAAGCGACGUUGAAAAUUGGUCUUCGUCUGGUCCGUCGGAUUUGGUCCAAAUUAAGCCCAAAAAGCGACGUUGAAAAUUGGUCUUCGAUUGGUCCGUCGGAUUUGGUCCAAAUUAAGACCAAAAAGCAACAUUUAACGUCUUUUUAUUUUAUUUAUUUUAUUUUUUUUAUCCAAAUUUAGCCCAAAAACAGAUGUAGAUGGGCUUUAGUCCAAAUUUAGCAGAAAAAAAACUUUUAUUUCGCACCACAAAGCCAUUAACAUAAACUAGUGAAGAAAUAUAUUAGACAUCAUGUCUGAAGCACUGUUAAAUAUAUUGAAAUAUAUUUUGAAAACACUUGAUGGUCACGCGCUGAACUGCAGCUGAGGAAGUCACCAUGGAAACGGGGCGCAGCUCAACCGUCAAGCAGCUGAACGGACGCUGUCUCUCAUGGUUGUUUUCACUAAUUUCAGAGAAAUGGUCAGUGUCUUCUGAAAAAGUCCGUUAGCAUCUCAACUGUAAUGCUAACUACAAGAGUUAUUUUGAUGUCCACACUGUAAGAGUAUUACUCGAUUCUUCCAUGCUGAUGGCCGUGCGUGUAUCCAGCUGAAGAACAUUUUUUAGACAUUAUCAAACAUAUGACUAAGUUUAGCUCCAACCCCAGUUAAGCAGACCUGAGCAGCUGAUCAAGGAUCAGCAGAAACUCUGCAGAACGGUGGUCCUCCAGCCCAGGACUGGACACCAGUGUUAUGCUGGAGAAAAAACAGUGAGGAUAAAGCAUUCAAAGUGGAAACAUCUCCCGUGGCUCAUUAAUCCUGAAUUGGGAUGGAGGAAGGAGCAGAAGAAGCAGCAGAUCAGAGAUCAGGCAGAGAUCUACUGGUGCCUCUGUGGGAACCCCAUUUACCUACUGUGUUUUUUAAACCAAAGAUUUUCCUCACUUAUCUUCAUAUUGUUCCAAGCCAGACUUUUGGUCAUCUUUGAAACAUAAAUGCAGAACUUUUUAAUGAAAUCUGAGAAUUCUUUUAAAUAUAAAAUAACGCAUUCACACAAGCACCAUGAUGCAUCAGUGUUGCAUCGGCAUGAGA